rnacentral:rRNA from 1 species
AUGGCGUCCGUCCCGGAGGCGCGGCCGGCGCCGCUCGCCGCCUUCGCGUCGCUCCUCGCCGCGCGCCGCUUCGGGGCGGCGAAGUCGAUGCUCCCGUCCCUCCUCACCCCCACCCUCCUCGCGGUCCCCUUCGCCGACCUCGCGGCCGGCUCCCUCCCGCGCGCCGCGCCGCGGCACGCCGUCGCGGCCUUCCACGACAUGCUCUUCCGCGCGUACGCAGACGCGGGCGUCCCCGAGCGCGCGGCCGAGGCGCUCGACCUCACCGUCUCCCGCCUCGGCAGCCUCGACCCGCGCUCGCUCACCUCGUCGCUGCUCUCGCUCCGCCGGACCGGCCAUCUGCUCCCCGCCGCCGAGCUCCUCAGGAAGGCGCUCGCUUCCUGCCCGGGCUCCAUCACGCCCCUCUCGGCCUCGGUCGUCGUCGACGGCUUCUGCAAGGCCGGCCGCAUGGACGACGCCCGCCGCCUGCUCGACGAAAUGCCAAGCCACGGCGUGAAGCUCAACGCGUGCUGCUAUAACUCGCUGCUCGACACCUACACGCGCCAGAAGAAUGAUGGACGGGUCGCGGAGGUGCUGAAGGAGAUGGAGAGUGGAGGCGUGGAGCCGACUGUCGGGACGUAUACGAUCCUUGUCGAUGGUUUGUCGAUGGCUGGCGAUAUCAGCAAGGUUGAGUCCGUGUUUGAUGAGAUGAAGAGGAAGAAUGUCGCAGGCGAUGUCUACUUCUACAGUGCGGUCAUCAAUGCGUAUUGUCGGGCUGGGAAUGUGCGGAGGGCGUCUGAGGUGUUCGACGAAUGCGUUGGCAAUGGCAUCGAGCCGAAUGAGCGUACUUAUGGAGCAUUGAUCAAUGGGUUCUGCAAGAUUGGGCAGAUGGAGGCUGCUGAGAUGUUGCUGAAGGAUAUGCAGGUGAGAGGAGUAAGACAUAACCAAAUCGUUUUCAAUACGAUGAUUGAUGGGUAUUGUCGCCAUGGCAUGGUGGACAAGGCCCUGGAAAUUAAGGCAGUCAUGGAGAGGAUGGACAUCCAGUUGGAUGUCUAUACAUACAACACGCUUGCGUGUGGGCUCUGCAGGGUGAAUAGAAUGGAAGAGGCCAAGAAGCUACUGCAUAUCAUGACCGAGAAUGGAGUUGAGUCAAACUAUGUCAGCUACACCACGUUGAUCAGCAUCCAUUCCAAGGAGGGUGACAUGGUAGAGGCAAGAAGGCUGUUCCGAGAUAUGGAAGGUAAGGGGUCAAGACCGAGUGUCGUAACCUACAAUGUCAUGAUUGACGGGUACAUCAAGAAUGGGAGCAUACGUGAAGCCGAGCGGUUCAAAAAGGAGAUGGAGAAGAAAGGGCUUGUUCCAGAUGUAUACACUUACGCAGCAAUAGUUCAUGGGCACUGUGUCAAUGGGAAGGUGGAUGUGGCACUGCGGUUGUUUGAAGAGAUGAAGCUGAGGGGUGCCAAACCUAACGUUGUGGCAUACACAGCUCUGAUAUCAGGUCUAGCAAAGGAAGGCAGAUCAGAGGAGGCCUUUCAGUUGUAUGACAAUAUGUUGGCAGCUGGAUUGACUCCAGAUGAUACUCUAUAUUCUAUGCUUGUUGGAAGCCUCCAUACAGAUAAAAGAAAACAUGAAAUCCCAUGA